rnacentral:misc_RNA from 1 species
GAUGAAGAACGCAGCGAAAUGCGAUACGUAAUGUGAAUUGCAGAAUUCAGUGAAUCAUCGAAUCUUUGAACGCACAUUGCGCUCUCUGGUAUUCCGGAGAGCAUGCUAGUUUGAGUAUCAGUAAACACCUCAACUCCUUUAUUGUAGUUGGACUUGAGCUAUCCCAACAGGACUUUUUGUUCCUGGCGGGAGGCUUGAAAUGCAGGUGCAGCUGGACUUUCUUCUGAGCUAUAAGCAUAUUUAUUUUAUCCCUUAACACGGAUUAUUACUUUUUUGCUGCAGCUAACAUAAAGGUUGAAUUUCCAUUGAGCUGACUGAUGCAGGAAUUUGGCAAGGAAUUUUUUUAAUGACUUGUUAAACUCGAUCUCAAAUCAAGUAAGACUACCCGCUGAACUUAAGCAUAUCAAUAAGCGGAGGA